AGUUACUCUCUUUCUCUUCUUAGCCUUCUCCCUAAGCUAAUCUUUGAUCUGAGAACUUCCAUAACCAUGGAAGCUAACAUGGUAUCAGAUCUAGUGUAUAUGAUCGGAGCGUAGUUCCUCGCUCAUCUAUGUGCAUGUGUGUUAUUAAAGUUCAGCUGAAGUGCCUGAAGGUAACAACACCUCUGAGCUAGGGUUUUGCUCAAUUUGACCUCUGAGAAGCUUCAUCAAUGGCGAUAGAAGACGAAACAAACGAGAGUGCUCCCAGACGUGCGAAUGUACCAGUUGC
rnacentral:lncRNA from 1 species